GACGAACGCUGGCGGCGUGCUUAACACAUGCAAGUCGAACGGAAAGGCCCUGCUUUUGUGGGGUGCUCGAGUGGCGAACGGGUGAGUAACAAGUGAGUAACCUGCCCUUGACUUUGGGAUAACUGCAGGAAACUGGGGCUAAUACCGGAAAGGAGCUCCUGCUGAAUGGUGGGGGUGGGAAAGUUUCGGCGGUUGGGGAUGGACUCGCGGCUUAUCAGCUUGUUGGUGGGGUAGUGGCUUACCAAGGCUUUGACGGGUAGCCGGCCUGAGAGGGUGACCGGCCACAUUGGGACUGAGAUACGGCCCAGACUCCUACGGGAGGCAGCAGUGGGGAAUAUUGCACAAUGGGCGGAAGCCUGAUGCAGCAACGCCGCGUGCGGGAUGACGGCCUUCGGGUUGUAAACCGCUUUCGCCUGUGACGAAGCGUGAGUGACGGUAAUGGGUAAAGAAGCACCGGCUAACUACGUG
rnacentral:rRNA from 1 species